rnacentral:rRNA from 1 species
GUAGGGGGCUAGCGUUGUCCGGAUUCAUUGGGCGUAAAGCGCGUGUAGGCGGCCAGAUAGGUCUGCUGUGAAAACUCGAGGCUCAACCUCGAGCCGUCGGCGGAAACCAUCUGGCUAGAGUCCGGAAGAGGAGAGUGGAAUUCCCGGUGUAGCGGUGAAAUGCGCAGAUAUCGGGAAGAACACCUGUGGCGAAGGCGGCUCUCUGGGACGGUACUGACGCUGAGACGCGAAAGCGUGGGGAGCAAACAGGAUUAGAUACCCUGGUAGUCCACGCCGUAAACGAUGGGUGCUAGGUGUGGGGAGUGUCGACUCUCUCCGUGCCGAAGCUAACGCAUUAAGCACCCCGCCUGGGGAGUACGGCCGCAAGGCUAAA